rnacentral:tRNA from 1 species
AAGAAAGAAGCAGAAAUGGUUAUGCGACUGGCUUGAAACCAGAAUGAGGGGGUUCGAUUCCUUCCUUUCUCG